AGAUAGUGGAUGUGUCUCACAUGACAAAAUCUUACCAGUUGAAAAGUCAGUACUGAAAGACAGUACUGAUGCAUUAAUCCUAGCAGCAAAGGAACAGGCACUUGGCACAAGAUCAAUAAAAGCGGGAGCCUACCAGGCAAGACCCAGGGUGCAGAGAUAGCAAAAAGGGUAGUUGAGAAUGACAGGGCUAAGAUCCUAUGGGAAUGCCAGAUCCAGACAGACAAGCAAGUGCUUAGCAAAAAAAAAAGUAGUAUAAAAAGAGUAUAAUGCACACACUAAAAAAGGGGGAAUACUUCCAGCAAUGUGCUUCAGAAAGGGAGGGCCAAUCCCUGGAGACAUCAAAUGGGAAAAAAUAAAUAUCCAGGCAC